rnacentral:rRNA from 1 species
CCUACGGGGGGCUGCAGUGGGGAAUAUUGGACAAUGGGGGCAACCCUGAUCCAGCCAUGCCGCGUGUGUGAAGAAGGCCCUCGGGUUGUAAAGCACUUUCAGUGAGGAAGAACGCCUGGUGGUUAAUACCCAUCAGGAAAGACAUCACUCACAGAAGAAGCACCGGCUAACUCCGUGCCAGCAGCCGCGGUAAUACGGAGGGUGCGAGCGUUAAUCGGAAUUACUGGGCGUAAAGCGCGCGUAGGUGGCUUGAUAAGCCGGUUGUGAAAGCCCCGGGCUCAACCUGGGAACGGCAUCCGGAACUGUCAAGCUAGAGUGCAGGAGAGGAAGGUAGAAUUCCCGGUGUAGCGGUGAAAUGCGUAGAGAUCGGGAGGAAUAACAGUGGCGAAGGCGGCCUUCUGGACUGACACUGACACUGAGGUGCGAAAGCGUGGGUAGCAAACAGGAUUAGAUACCCUGGUAGUC